rnacentral:rRNA from 1 species
CGUAGGUGGCGAGCGUUGUCCGGAUUUAUUGGGCGUAAAGGGAACGCAGGCGGUCUUUUAAGUCUGAUGUGAAAGCCUUCGGCUUAACCGAAGUAGUGCAUUGGAAACUGGAAGACUUGAGUGCAGAAGAGGAGAGUGGAACUCCAUGUGUAGCGGUGAAAUGCGUAGAUAUAUGGAAGAACACCAGUGGCGAAGCGGCUCUCUGGUCUGUAACUGACGCUGAGGUUCGAAAGCGUGGGUAGCAA